UGGGGGAUAUUGCACAAUGGGCGAAAGCCUGAUGCAGCGACGCCGCGUGGGGGAUGAAGGCCUUCGGGUUGUAAACUUCUUUUGCUCUGAACAAGGCAUGCUAAUGGGUGUGUUGAGUGUAGGGGUUGAUUAGCGCCGGCUAACUACGUGCCAGCAGCCGCGGUAAUACGUAGGCGCGAGCGUUGUCCGGAAUUAUUGGGCGUAAAGGGCUUGUAGGUGGCUGGUUGCGUCUGUCGUGAAAGCUCAUGGCUUAACUGUGGGUUUGCGGUGGGUACGGGCUGGCUUGAGUGCAGUAGGGGAGGCUGGAAUUCCUGGUGUAGCGGUGGAAUGCGCAGAUAUCAGGAGGAAUACCGGUGGCGAAGGCGGGUCUCUGGGCUGUUACUGACACUGAGGAGCGAAAGCAUGGGGAGCGAACAGG
rnacentral:rRNA from 1 species